GUCCCUGCAGCACAAUGGAUAGUGCAUUGGACAUCUAAUCCAAAGGUCAUGAGUUCGAAUCCCACUUGGGAUA